CGGCGCGCUCCCCCCGAGCACGAUGCCGCGCAGGAAUGUGAAAGGCGCGCGCCCGCCGCCAUUUUCUCUCUUUCUUGGCAGACGGCGGCAGCGGCCGGAGCGGCGCCGGGGCGGCCAUGGCGGACUAUUCCACGGUGCCCCCUCCUGCCGCGGGCGCGCCCGGGGGAGGUGGCGGUGGGGCUGGAGGAGUGAACGAUGCCUUUAAAGACGCGCUGCAGAGAGCUAGGCAGAUUGCAGCGAAAAUUGGAGGAGAUGCUGGCACAGCAAUGAAUUCAAACGACUACGGUUAUGGAGGGCAGAAAAGACCUCUUGAGGAUGGAGAUCAACCAGAUGCUAAGAAAGUUGCUCCCCAGAAUGACUCUUUUGGAAAUCAGCUACCACCGAUGCAUCAGCAGCAAAGGUCUGUGAUGACAGAGGAGUACAAAGUUCCAGAUGGGAUGGUUGGAUUCAUAAUUGGCAGAGGUGGAGAACAGAUCUCACGCAUACAGCAGGAGUCUGGCUGUAAAAUACAGAUUGCACCUGACAGUGGAGGCCUGCCAGAAAGAUCAUGUAUGCUAACUGGAACACCAGAAUCUGUUCAGUCAGCAAAAAGAUUACUUGAUCAGAUAGUUGAAAAGGGAAGACCUGCACCUGGAUUUCAUCAUGGUGAUGGACCUGGAAAUGCAGUCCAAGAAAUUAUGAUUCCAGCAAGUAAAGCAGGAUUAGUUAUUGGGAAAGGUGGAGAGACAAUUAAACAAUUACAGGAGCGGGCAGGUGUCAAAAUGGUCAUGAUUCAAGAUGGUCCGCAGAACACUGGUGCAGACAAGCCCCUUAGGAUAACUGGAGACCCUUAUAAAGUUCAGCAAGCCAAGGAAAUGGUGCUGGAGUUAAUUCGUGAUCAAGGUGGCUUUAGAGAGGUGCGCAACGAAUAUGGGUCAAGAAUAGGAGGAAAUGAAGGGAUAGACGUUCCAAUACCACGAUUUGCUGUAGGUAUUGUUAUUGGAAGAAAUGGAGAGAUGAUUAAAAAGAUCCAGAACGAUGCUGGUGUUAGGAUCCAAUUUAAGCCAGAUGAUGGAACAACUCCAGAUAGAAUAGCCCAGAUCACAGGGCCUCCUGACAGAUGUCAGCAUGCUGCAGAAAUUAUUACAGAUCUCCUUCGCAGUGUUCAGGCUGGUAACCCUGGUGGACCAGGACCUGGUGGUCGAGGAAGGGGUAGAGGCCAAGGCAACUGGAACAUGGGGCCUCCUGGUGGAUUACAGGAGUUCAAUUUUAUUGUCCCUACUGGCAAAACUGGAUUAAUCAUUGGAAAAGGUGGUGAAACUAUUAAAAGUAUAAGCCAACAGUCUGGUGCUAGAAUAGAACUUCAGAGAAAUCCUCCACCUAAUGCGGAUCCAAACAUGAAGAUGUUUACUAUCCGUGGAACACCGCAGCAGAUAGAUUAUGCACGACAACUUAUAGAAGAAAAGAUUGGAGGUCCAGUGAAUCCAUUGGGUCCACCUGUUCCCCAUGGUCCUCAUGGUGUUGUUCCUGGCCCCCAUGGACCUCCUGGGCCACCGGGUCCUGGUGCUCCCAUGGGACCGUAUAAUCCAGCUCCUUAUAACCCAGGCCCUCCUGGUCCUGCACCUCAUGGUCCUCCAGCUCCAUAUGCUCCACAGGGAUGGGGAAAUGCUUAUCCACACUGGCAGCCACCAAACCCACCAGACCCAGGUAAGCCAGGAACAGAUCCCAAUUCAGCAGCGUGGGCAGCUUAUUAUGCUCACUAUUAUCAGCAGCAAGCACAGCCACCACCUGCAGCCCCUCCUGGUGGACCAGCUACAACCCAAACUAAUGGACAAGGAGAUCAGCCAAAUCCAGCACCAGCAGGGCAGGUUGACUAUACCAAGGCCUGGGAGGAGUACUACAAAAAAAUGGGUCAAGCUGUUCCUGCCCCUGCUGGGGCUCCUCCGGGCGGCCAGCCAGAUUACAGCGCAGCGUGGGCUGAGUACUACAGGCAGCAGGCAGCAUACUACGCUCAGACAAGUCCACAGGGAAUGCCACAGCAUCCUCCAGCACCACAGUGCCUUCCCAGACCUUCCACCUUAGGUUCUGCUGCAAAAAAGCAACAGGUAAGCACAACCUAAGGAAGUAUAUAAAUUAAUAUAUUUCAGUACAUUAAUGUUGUCCCUGUGAGAUCUUUGUGGUUGUGUAUUGAAAAGCAAUCUGCUGCUUCCCCAAAUGCAUUGUUACUCACGGUUCCAUUUGAGUGGAAAAUCUUAAGUUUUUAAACAACUGUUUAUAUUUCUAGGUCAAUAUGUAUUUUUUUCUUUUUUUCUUUUUCUUUUUUUUUUUUUUUUAGAAAAGAUUAUUAGAUUGCAGUAAUUGAACUUGAUCAGAAUAAGUAAUUUUUUAUUAUUUUACUUCAAAUAGAUAAGUGUUGCAAUUAAAGAAUCAAAACCUUUAAAAUAUGCAGGAAUUGCUUUGGUUAGAAAUGUCAACAGCCUUCACAAAUGUUUUUGUUUUUUUUAAUAGGGCACUAUUCCCACCUAAUCCAUAAGACCUAAAUGUAAAGAAUGACUUCUUGUUGUUAUCACUGAACUUGAUAACAUGUCUUACAGUUAUAGUGUGUUAGUGGAAUCUUUAGAUAACUUAGUUUGCUUAUUCAUACUUGACAUGGUAGGAAAAGAGAUUUUGGAGUUUGAGAUGAGUAUGUUUUAACCUAAAAAGCAUGAGCACCACUUAAAUCCUAACAGUACAGCAAAUAAUGUUUUAUUGCUAUAGCAGUCAGUGUAUCCUGUUUCUUGAUACUUAUAACUGAAUUGCUGAAUAUUUUGAUAGUAUGAAAUGUUAAAUGUCUUACAGAUGGUCUGGUACAGGUUUCUGUUCUGAGAUUUUGUUGUUGGUUUUUUUAGCUUAACAUAAAGCAGCAUCUCUUUGGUUUUUUUGUUCAUUAUUUUGUUUCUGAACUGUGCUGCUCCUCUUUCAAAAGUCCUGCUUAUUUGUACAUCAAAGAAAAAUAUUCAAAAAUACUGCCUUCAUUUUCACACACAGUGCUGAAGAUGCUGCAAGCACCAAAUCAUAGCUCAUAGAAUCAGGUCCUGAGAUAGUUACUACCAGUAAAGAGGAAUCCUUUGAGUGUAUGCCAUUGGUGAGCCGAUGAGCAUGGACCAUAGAAGGGCUCCAUGUAGAAGGUAAAAUUGGCAAAAGCAUAACAGAUUUGAAAUGUAUCCCAUACAUAAUUAUAUAGGGUAUAAUUUUUGUUUUGAUCACUUUUCAUUCUUUAAAGUAUUCUUGUUUGACCAUAAAUGUUCCAUAAUGUUAAGUUUUUAAACUGUGAUUUAAUAAUAUAAAUCAUCUAUUUUACUUUAUAUUCUUCUAAACAGUCAAGCUAAUUUUUGAACUGAAUUAAUAGUUGUGCUUCAGUUUCUCAAGCCACUUAGCAUUUCAUCUGUAGUUUAACAUGUAACUUCAUUUUUGACGUGAGAAGAGGGUAGGUGUGUACCAUUUGAAUUUUGAUACUGUGGAUUUAGUGUGGGGGUGAGUCAUUUGUUCACUUCCUUUUUACAUCGUACUUUUUCCUUCAGCUGUUACUCCUAAAAUAUCUUGAACGGUCUUUCAAAUUGUUAAUUUAGCCUGUGGAAGGAGAUAGAGAAGAAAAAGCCGGUGUAUUUGGGGUAUUGCUAGUGUGUGAAAGGGAAGAUGUUCUUGUGUGUAGCAUUUGAGCUGUUUUGGCUUCCAGCUUUCUCACUGCAGGGCUUACAGGCAUGCUGGUUUGUGCAGAGCUUAGUGUUUCUUUUUCAACUCUGUCUCCAAACUCAGAGUUCCUGGGACAACAGUAGAUUGUUGGAGUUACCACAGUAGCCAAAAAGAUGACUGGACUUGCUUAAGAAAUGCAGUGAACCUGUCCAAAAGGUGUCUUGAAAAGUUUCCUGCUUACCCCACCCUCACCACUUAGUGUCCCACAAUGAGUUUAAAGAGUAAGACAGGUUUUAAAAGGAAGCAUAAUGUUUCUAAAUAGGAAAAGCAUUUUCAUUUCACUUUCUGCAGCCUAUACUUUAUUAGGACAUGGAAUAAAAUACAGGUGGAUAUUCUUUAGUGUAGCUUAAUUAUAAGUCAUUUCACUUGUCCAGGCAGACAGGAUCGCAGUUCACUUGCACAGCCUAUCUUGAAGUAUUUCAUCUUUUUACUAGUGGUAUUUUUUUGGAUGGUAGAAACUGUUUCUCCCCUGUUCUUUUCCAGAGUAAUUCUUAAGUUUCCCAUUGCAUGCUAAAAGCUUUUCCAUUUUGCUUUUUUUUCUGGAAGUGGGGGGAGGGAGGACUGGGCUUUUCAGAAAGCAUACGAUUGACAGGAAUCCCUCUUCCCUAGUAAUAGCUUAUGAAACUCUUGUGUAUGCACAAGUAUUUCUCUUGCGUGCAUGUGAAAUGCCUUUUCGUCCUGAGAAAAGUGUUCUCUGCAGAAACUACCCGUGUGUAAACAGAAGAUUGGCUUUAAAAGGCAACUGUGAUGGGAACAGUGUCUUAGGGAGAUGCAGCUUGGACUUGAGACAUUCAAUCAUCACUGAAGGAAUUGAGAUACUCUGAUCUCUUCGCUAUAACUUCUCUCCAGUGAACACUUACCUGCUAAGAAAAGCCUGUGGUUUGCAAACUGCAAUCAAGAACCCCUUUCAGAGGACAUCUCAGAAUACUUUUAUCUGUUAAUGGAGGAAGUGGACUGGGAGCUGUCAGAGUACUGAUAAUCCAGAUCUCUAUACUGUGAGCAGCCCUGGACUGGUAUGUGGGGUAGCCCAUUAAGGGAAUUAGAGAAAUCUUUCAUUUGAUAUUUUUAAGGGAAAAAAAAUUAAAGAAUUGAAGGAAAAUAACUGCUGAAUUCUUAAGAAAAAUGUUUACUUCAAAUUUUGACAACCACUGGUCAGCAGGUACAACUUCAUGUUAGAAAGUUUCUUCUGAUGCGGAGAAAUUAUAGAUUAAUUCAUAUUAAUAAAAAAUGCGUAAGCAUAAGAAGAGAGAUGUGAAUUAAUCUUCAGAUAGAACAUCUAAGUGAUUUCAUAAAGUUCACUCUCCUUCAGUUUCUUUGCUCUUCUCCUUCACUGGAAUUCCUUGCCCAGCCCCAAACAAAAAAGAAAAAGUGCAUUACUGACAUAAUGGCUGGCAAGGUUAUUGGUGUGAAACAGCAGUGAUUUAUUGGAGGUGGAGAUGAAAAAGUAAACUACAGUUUGGGUAUCUGCCUAAACUUAGAACUCUCUCAGUAUGGACCAGUUGGGAAUUUGUGUGCUUCAGCUUUCUAGAAGUUCUGUGUUGUUGGUUUUGUUUAAGUUUGUUUCUGUAGAAUAUGAAUGUCUUGAAUGUUUUUGAAAUAUAAUCAAAAUAGUGAUCUAGAGCUGUUUUUCCAAGACUGUUCAUGCAUAAUUAUAUUCUGUCAAAACUAGCAAAUUCCUAUAAAUAAUAUUUUCCAAGUUUUUAUGCAAGAUUAAAAUCUCAUUUCUUGUUAAUCUUGUUUGUAUGUGAAUUUUGUAUUUGAAUUAAGAAAGCCAUAGUGAUCAUGACGGUACAGGGGAAAUGUAUAAAAAUACAGAACUUUAAAAAUGCUAUUGGAAAUAGAAAACAAGGAAAUACAGAACUAAACUAUCUGGUUAUCUUAGGUUAAAACUAAGUAUAUGAUUUCUUCAAUAUGAUCAAAGAACAAACUAUAGUGAGGUCUUUUUAUAGCUGAUCUAAUGUAACUCUGACAUGAUAAAGAACACAUCUGAAGGCACUUUUCAAAGUAAUAUAAAACAGGAUCUGUGAGCAGCAUUUCUGACAAAUUGAAGGGACUUCAUCUAGUAAUUUAUAGUGUGUUGUACAUUCAAAGUAUGUACAUAUAAAAGAGCUGAUCUUUUUUCUCCUUUCUUCAUAAGAGGAGAGUUGUAAUUGAUGAAUAUUUCUAUCACAUUUACAAAUAAAUACGGGACAAGAAAUAGCAUUCUGUUACUGUGGAAUGUUUGCAUCAAAAACUGAACUAUCUGCAGCAUUAUUUCAGAAGAAAACAGCCACUCAUCUUCUUGAAGGCUUACAGUUUAAGGUAUUACAAAGUUUAGAUGAAAAAUCUACCAAGUUGCUGGCAAAAUCAGAACACCUGUAUUUCUUAGGUUUACUGAAAGAAUGUCUAAAAGCCAGUGUGGUAACUGAUUUAGAAUAAAGGUCAAAAAUGUCUUUCAAAAACUCAUUUCCAGACUCUUAACAGCUUGAAAUAAAUUUAAGGAAUAAGAAAAAAGAAGAAUCACAUAUAGAGGAAAAAAAGUAACAGGAAAUGUGCAAAUUC